rnacentral:rRNA from 1 species
UACGGGGGGGGCAAGCGUUGUUCGGAAUUACUGGGCGUAAAGGGUUCGUAGGUGGCUUGCUAAGUCAGACGUGAAAUCCCUCAGCUUAACUGGGGAACUGCGUCUGAGACUGGCAAGCUUAAGUGCAGGAGAGGAACGCGGAAUUCCAGGUGUAGCGGUGAAAUGCGUAGAUAUCUGGAGGAACACCGGUGGCGAAGGCGGCGUUCUGGACUGUAACUGACACUGAAGAACGAAAGCCAGGGGAGCAAACGGG